AUGAACGCUGGCGGCGUGCCUAAUACAUGCAAGUCGAGCGAACAGACGAGGAGCUUGCUCCUCUGACGUUAGCGGCGGACGGGUGAGUAACACGUGGAUAACCUACCUAUAAGACUGGGAUAACUUCGGGAAACCGGAGCUAAUACCGGAUAACAUGUUGAACCGCAUGGUUCAACAGUGAAAGACGGUCUUGCUGUCACUUAUAGAUGGAUCCGCGCCGCAUUAGCUAGUUGGUAAGGUAACGGCUUACCAAGGCAACGAUGCGUAGCCGACCUGAGGGGGUGACCGGCCAAACUGGAACUGAGACACGGUCCAGCCUCCUACGGAGGGCAGCAGUAGGGAAUCUUCCGCAAUGGGCGAAAGCCUGACGGAGCAACGCCGGGGGAGGAAAGAAGGUUUUCGGAUCGUAAAACUUUGUUAUUAGGGAAAAAAAAAUGUGUAAGUAACUAUGCACGUUUUGACGGUACCUAAUCAGAAAGCCACGGCUAACUACGU
rnacentral:rRNA from 1 species